GUCUCUCUACAUAACCCUGGCUGUCCUGGAUGGCACUAUCUAGACUGGGGUAUCCUUGAAUUUACAGAGCUCCUCUUGCCUCUGCCUCUGGAAUGCUGGGAUUAAAGGUCUAUGUACCAUGUUCAUGCUCAGUGGCCAGGGAGACCUGACUGGAAGUCAAAUACUCUGGAACUGGAGUUACAGCACAGUUGAGAGCAGCCAUGUCAUCGUGGUCAUUAAACCCGGGUCCUCUGAGAGAGAGCAGCCUGUGCUCUUAACUGCUGAGCUAUUACUUCAGCCCAAGUUCUCCAUUCUUGACAAGGUUUCCUGUCCAAGGCAGCCUAAGUCACUGUGGGUCAGACUCCUGAUGGUCAUUAAAGAGAGGAAUCCUCCCGCAAGAAUGAAAUUCAUCCUCCAGCAUGGGUUACUUGAAGCAAAACUGCCUCUGAACUUCAAGCGCUCUGCCUAAGGACAGAUAGUUGCUGAAAUGCCAGAAGCUAUUGUUUGUGGGAGAUAAC
rnacentral:lncRNA from 1 species